UCCCUGGUGGCUCAGAUGGUAAAGCGUCUGCCUGCAAUGCGGGAGACCCGGGUUCGAUCCCUGGGCUGGGAA
rnacentral:tRNA from 1 species